rnacentral:rRNA from 1 species
UACGUAGGUGGCAAGCGUUGUCCGGAUUUACUGGGCGUAAAGAGCGCGCAGGCGGUUGGAUAAGUCGAAUGUGAAAGCCCCCGGCUCAACUGGGGAGGGUCAUUCGAUACUGUCCGACUCGAAGGCAGGAGAGGGAAGCGGAAUUCCCGGUGUAGUGGUGAAAUGCGUAGAGAUGCGGAGGAACACCGAUGGCGAAGGCAAUCCCCUGGGCCUGCACUGACGCUCAUGCACGAAAGCGUGGGGAGCAAACAGG